rnacentral:rRNA from 1 species
AUUGAACGCUGGCGGCAGGCCUAACACAUGCAAGUCGAACGGUAACAGGAAACAGCUUGCUGUUUCGCUGACGAGUGGCGGACGGGUGGGUAAUGUCUGGGAAACUGCCUGAUGGAGGGGGAUAACUACUGGAAACGGUAGCUAAUACCGCAUAACGUCGCAAGACCAAAGAGGGGGACCUUCGGGCCUCUUGCCAUCGGAUGUGCCCAGAUGGGAUUAGCUAGUAGGUGGGGUAACGGCUCACCUAGGCGACGAUCCCUAGCUGGUCUGAGAGGAUGACCAGCCACACUGGAACUGAGACACGGUCCAGACUCCUACGGGAGGCAGCAGUGGGGAAUAUUGCACAAAGGGCGCAAGCCUGAUGCAGCCAUGCCGCGUGUAUGAAGAAGGCCUUCGGGUUGUAAAGUACUUUCAGCGGGGAGGAAGGGAGUAAAGUUAAUACCUUUACUCAUUGACGUUACCCGCAGAAGAAGCACCGGCUAACUCCGUG